rnacentral:rRNA from 1 species
GUACCCUUCUCUACGGAAUAGCCUCGGGAAACUGAGAGUAAUACCGUAUACGCCCUUCGGGGGAAAGAUUUAUCGGAGAAGGAUCAGCCCGCGUAAGAUUAGAUAGUUGGUGGGGUAAUGGCCUACCAAGUCUACGAUCUUUAGCUGGUUUUAGAGGAUGAUCAGCAACACUGGGACUGAGACACGGCCCAGACUCCUACGGGAGGCAGCAGUGGGGAAUCUUGGACAAUGGGCGCAAGCCUGAUCCAGCCAUGCCGCGUGUGUGAUGAAGGCCUUAGGGUCGUAAAGCACUUUCGCUAGAGAUGAUAAUGACAGUAUCUAGUAAAGAAGUCCCGGCUAACUCCGUGCCAGCAGCCGCGGUAAUACGGAGGGGACUAGCGUUGUUCGGAAUUACUGGGCGUAAAGCGUACGUAGGCGGAUCAGAAAGUAUGGGGUGAAAUCCCAGGGCUCAACCCUGGAACUGCCUCAUAAACUCCUGGUCUAGAGUUCGAGAGAGGUGAGUGGAAUUCCGAGUGUAGAGGUGAAAUUCGUAGAUAUUCGGAGGAACACCAGUGGCGAAGGCGGCUCACUGGCUCGAUACUGACGCUGAGGUACGAAAGUGUGGGGAGCAAACAGGAUUAGAUACCCUGGUAGUCCACACCGUAAACGAUGAAUG